GAGUUGGCCGUGCGGCCGCGCGGCGAAAGCCGUGAGGAAAGUCCGGGCACCGCAGAGCAGAACGCCGGAUAACGUCCGGUGGAGGCGACUCCAAGGAUAGUGCAACAGAAACAGACCGCAGAGAGAUCUGCAAGGAUGGAAAGGGGAGGUAAGAGCUCACCGGCGCUCCGGUAACGGAGCGCGCUGUGUAAACCCCGUUCGGUGCAAGAUUGGGUCCGUGCCAGCAGGAUUGCUCGUCCGGCGCGGGCUGUGAACAUCGCUCGAGCGUAUCGGCGACGAUACGCCAAGAUAGAUGGCCGCACACGACAGAACCCGGCUUACAGGCCAA
rnacentral:RNase_P_RNA from 1 species